GCCGAAGUGGUGGAAUUGGUAGACACGCAUGCUUGAGGGGCAUGUGGGAUGAAUCCCGUGCCGGUUCGAGUCCGGCCUUCGGUA
rnacentral:tRNA from 1 species